GAGACCUAAAAGCAACCAUCAAUUGUCCAAUUAUAUGAUUUAAUCGAAUAACAAGGCUAAAUAAACCAUCAACAGAAACAUGUCGAAAACUUCGACGCAAACCCAACUUAAAAAUAUACACUCACCCUCGUAUGAACAGCAAUACGCGAAACUAACACGAUGGAGGGACGAUGUCGUCAUGAUCCUCGCCUAAAAAAAACCAAUCAAAACUUAAACCAAAGAAUUCAAGCAACCAAGCAAACUUACUUCGAAAAAAUGAACAAACAAAUACUGACAAACAUUCUCAUCAAUUUACGCAAUUACCCCAAUAAGCAAGACAAUAGAAGAUGAAGUUUUCCUGACGUAACAGCAGCAAGAUAUGGCAGCACACAAGGAACGAAGGAAAAAAAGAAAAAGAAAAGAAAAGAAUGAGAAAAAAAUAAGAAAAAGAAAGAAGGGAAGAAGAAGGAGAAAAGAAACAUCAUAGAAAUUUUGAUUAACUUUCAGAAUAAAAACUAAUUACUCUAACAAAUUAAUAACAAAAAUAUUUCCUUAUUGCUUGUAUAGAGAUUCAAACAUAAGAC
rnacentral:lncRNA from 1 species